AUUGAACGCUGGCGGCAUGCCUUACACAUGCAAGUCGAACGUGAAAGCGGGGCAACCCGCAAGUAGAGUGGCGGACGGGUGAGUAAUACAUCGGAACGUGUCCAGUAAUGGGGGAUAACCUAGCGAAGUUAGGCUAAUACCGCAUACGAUCUGCGGAUGAAAGCGGGGGAUGCGGCACUAAAGGCUUUUGGCGAAGGUGGCCAAAGGUGAGUCAAGAGCUUUUAGUGCNGCACCUCGCGUUAUUGGAGCGGCUGAUGUCUGAUUAGCUAGUUGGUGAGGUAAAGGCUUACCAAGGCGACGAUCAGUAGCUGGUCUGAGAGGACGGCCAGCCACACUGGGACUGAGACACGGCCCAGACU
rnacentral:rRNA from 1 species